rnacentral:rRNA from 1 species
GACGAACGCUGGCGGCGUGCUUAACACAUGCAAGUCGAACGGUAAGGCCCUUCGGGGUACACGAGUGGCGAACGGGUGAGUAACACGUGGGUGAUCUGCCCUGCACUUCGGGAUAAGCCUGGGAAACUGGGUCUAAUACCGGAUAGGACCACUGCCUGCAUGGGUGGUGGUGGAAAGCUUUUGUGGCGUGGGAUGGGCCCGCGGCCUAUCAGCUUGUUGGUGGGGUGAUGGCCUACCAAGGCGACGACGGGUAGCCGGCCGGGGAGGGGGAACGGCCACACUGGGACUGAGAUACGGCCCAGACUCCUACGGGAGGCAGCAGUGGGGAAUAUUGCACAAUGGGCGCAAGCCUGAUGCAGCGACGCCGCGUGAGGGAUGAAGGCCUUCGGGUUGUAAACCUCUUUCAGCACCGACGAAGCGCAAGUGACGGUAGGUGCAGAAGAGGGACCGGCCAACUACGUGCCAGCCGCCGCCGUAA